GCCGUACUGAGGGAGGGGCCGGGGGGCUCACGGGGUGGAGGCGGGAGGGCUCUCCGGUCCAGGACCAGGCCAGGGGGGCUGCUCGGCUGCUACUUUCUCACCCACCGAGAGCCUCCCCCGGGGGGUCUAGGGCGUAGCGUGUGUCCCGCUCCCCGCACCUACCCCCCAGCGGGUCCCUUCUCUCUGCUCUCCCCUCAGUCUGAGCUGCUGUAUCAGCCCAAGGGCCCGGAAAUCAACAUCUCUGUGAAUUAGUGUCAAGAGGAUGAGGAGGGGGAAGCGGAGGAAGAGGAGGAGGAGGAAGAGAGGAUCACCGCAGACCCAACCCUGAGGCCCGGCCCCUUCUCCCUGGGCCGAAGCCGGACGCUGGGCCUCACCGCGUCCACCCUUCUCCAGUGUUUCUUUCCUACACCUUCCGGAGGUGCCCCGCAAACCUCUCCCGCUGAUUCUGAGAUGGAGCUGCCACCGCCGAGUCCCUCCCUCCCUUAGCAUCGCGCACGGUGACGGACUUGAUGGGGACGGAAGGGCCAGGAGGAGGAGGAAGACGGGGAGACCAGCUCACCCAUCCUCACACGCCCAGUUGGCCGCUGUCACCGCUCAGUUCCGGAGUAGACCUCUGCCCCCCUACACCCCUUCACCCCCACAGCCGGUGGCCCAGCACCUUUGGGGGAGAAAAGUAGUUCGCCCAUCCCCUCCUCCUAUGGGGAGGACUUUGUCUUCUAACUCUAUUGUACUCUCCCCAGUGCUUAGUACAGUGCUCUGCACACAGUAGGCUUUUAAUAAAUAUUCUAAUAAUAAUAACAUUGUAUUGGUUAAAGCAUUUAUUCAUUCAUUCAUUUAACUGUAUUUAUUGAGCGCUUACUAUGUGCCAGCUGAGGUGGAUGAAAAGAUAAUCAGAUGGGACCCCGUUUCUGCCCUACGUGGGGCUCACAGUCUAAGGAGGAGGGAGGACAGGUAUUGCAUCCCCAUUGACAGGUGAGAAAACCGAGGCCCAGAGAAGUGAAAUGACUUGCCCAAGGGCACACAGCGGACGAGUGGCGGAACCGGGCUUAGAACCCAUGACCUCCUGACUCCCGGGCCCGCGCUCUAUCCUCUACGCUAGGCGGUCUCGUAGCCGCUCCAGUGUUCGGUAAUAAUGAUUAUGGUACUUGUUAAGCGCUUAACUACGUGCCAGGCACCGUACUAAGCGCUGGGGUGGAUACGAGCAGAUCGGGUUGGACCCAGUCCCUGUCCCAGUACAGUUCAGUACAGUCCUCGGCCCUUACAGCUUAACCAAGACCACCGAGGUCAUCCUUAGGUGGCUUGGGGUUGCCCGGAAAGCAGGCUUCUCCCCAGCCGGAUCUCUCUCUGUCUCCUUGCGGGCCGCUCGAUGGAUGGACACGUCUUGGUCCCGGGCCCACGAGCCUAGAGCGUUCUGCCCCCCUGGAGGUCCCUCGCCUGCUCAUGACGAGGUCACGGGGUACCCAAGGGGGGAGGUGAGGGGGCAGGGGGCGGGGGCAGGAGGCCAAGCCCGGCCUGUGGGCGAUGCUGCCCCUUGCCCGGCAGCCCAACGCUUCCUUGCGUCUCUGGGGUUUACGGGGCCGACC
rnacentral:lncRNA from 1 species